rnacentral:lncRNA from 1 species
CGUGCUUUAUGGAGCUAAGCCUUGCCCAGAAGAGGAAAGAAGACAGCAGAGACAGCUCAGGGAGUGUGGCAGGAUGCUGUCAUGACCCUGUGUAAGACUCCAGCUGAGUGCUGUGUGUAUUUAUAGACACACACACACACAGACACGCAGGCAUGGGAAACGUGCCCUGGAACAAACGUACUGUUUGUUUCCUGGAAACAUGCCCUUCCUUGCCAACUUGCCAGAUUUCCCAGAUCACAUCAUCCUGAAGCAGGGAAAAUUAUGUCUUCUUAUUCCUGGCAUCCACCUGCCACAUGAAGAGAGAUCUUUGGAAAACGGAUCUGACCACUUCUCUGCCCUUUGGAAGACUGGAGCAAUUUCACCUUGUCCUCAGGGAACGAGCUUAAAUUCUCGUGAUGCUGAGAAGAGGGCAGGAGCGGAUAAGUCAAGCACACAAACCAUGGAGAAAAACUUAAGGAUACUUUCCACACCCCAAGCAACAGGCACAUCCCUCUGGGGUGCAACCUAGGUAAGUAAGCCCUGACCACACAGGGGUAUGGAUGCCCUCGGCUGCCUAAGGAGAAGCUUGAUUUGAGGUCUAAGGAAGGCAUCUCCCUUGUGGAAAUGGUACCUGACGGUGACCUGGGCUCUGUGGGGGUGGUAGGCAGAUGUAACAACGUGUGUGGUCGCACCGUUUACAAUACCACACCUUCAUAACCAACCACAUCUCAUUUGAUCCUUUUUUUUUUUUUUUUUGGUCUUUUUUUUAGGGCCACACCUGCAGCAUAUGGAAGUUCUGGGACUCAGGGUGGAAUCAGAGCUGCUGCGCAGCUGAGGGGCAACAUGGGAUCCGAGCCACAUCUGCAACCUACACCGCAGCUUGUGGCAACGCCAGAUCCUUUAACUCACUGAGCGUAGCCAGGAUCAAACCCAAAUCCUCACAGAUACUAACUGGGUUCUUCGCACACUGAGCCACAGCAGAAACUCCACACAUCUCAUGUGACCCCAGUGCCUACUCUCUAGGUAGCUUCCUCACCCUCAUUUCUCAGAUGAGGGAAACUGAGGCUCACAGAAUUUUCUGAGUGGCCAGAAACCCAGGGUUUCUGACACACGGUCUUUCCCUUACACGGCAGUUUGGCCUGGGGAAGUCAUGCAAAAUCUCACAGAGCAGGAAACCAUGACUUCUACAGAGACGGCUUCCUCCCAACCCUGGGCAAGGCCCACGGCUGAUGCAAAGUCAUGGUGGUAAAAAGGGAGUGUGCAGGGGGCCACGCUGAUGAGGGCUGGUGGCUGGAUAGCGGCAGGAGCAGCCAAGGGUACUAGGGGGCUGAGCUGGACUAGGCUACUCACCCAGGGUGUGGCUCAGUGCCCAAGGAGAACAGUGAGGCUAUGACUGGCCUAGGGGCUGCCCUGUGCCCAGGAGCAGGGGGCCUAGCCUGAGGGAGGCCUGACUGUAUCCAGGUCUUUGAUGACCACGGGUAAAGAUAAGAUAAAGCCAGUCUCUUAUUUUUAAGCCAGUCAAAGAGAGG